GUGGGGAAUCUUGCGCAAUGGGCGAAAGCCUGACGCAGCCAUGCCGCGUGAAUGAUGAAGGUCUUAGGAUUGUAAAAUUCUUUCACCGGGGACGAUAAUGACGGUACCCGGAGAAGAAGCUCCGGCUAACUUCGUGCCAGCAGCCGUGGUAAUACGAAGGGGGCUAGCGUUGCUCGGAAUUACUGGGCGUAAAGGGCGCGUAGGCGGACAGCUUAGUCAGAGGUGAAAGCCCAGGGCUCAACCUUGGAAUUGCCUUUGAUACUGGCUGUCUUGAGUUUGGGAGAGGUGAGUGGAACUCCGAGUGUAGAGGUGAAAUUCGUAGAUAUUCGGAAGAACACCAGUGGCGAAGGCGACUCACUGGCCCAAUACUGACGCUGAGGCGCGAAAGCGUGGGGAGCAAACAGGAUUAGAAACCCUAGUAGUCC
rnacentral:rRNA from 1 species